CCACAAUGCUCGCGUGUUUACACUCUUCUGUCAUGGCGUCCGACACUGACGACGAGGAAGAGAUGCUCUCGCCUGCUGGCUCUACAAGACAAUGAACUGAAGAGACGUUGGCAGGUCGGGUCAGCGAUAUGGUGGUGCUAUCAACCAAGCCGAAGCAGAGGACCGCUGGCAAUGGUGUCAGGAGCACACUUUAUAAAGCAGUGCGGGGGGAGCUGCCUGAUCCCGACGUCCUUAAAGUAGCAGAGGCUUAUAAGGACUUUCCAGCUGAUAUCGCACCGCUGAUCACCAACAUGUCAAUUAGUGCUGAAGUCCCACUGGUCAGCUCAAAAUUUGGUGAUGUUCAGGAGGGGAGUCCAGUCUCUUACCAACACCCGGUGCCUGUGAGCCGUGUGAUUCUGAUCCACCCAGAUGCCCGUCCACCGCCACCUCUACCAUUGGAUAAUUGUAGGCUCGCACCCACCAGUUGCUAGUAUCGGAGUAGUCUUCAAGAGCAGCUACAGCUGCGAUCGCUAUCAAACAAUCUUGAUAUGGCGAGGAAAAUAGAGGCUGCUACGAGGGAGCAGAGUGCAUGUGUGGAGUGGCACCGAGUCAGGAGGGAUAGGGUGACAUCUUCCCACUUCAGAGAGGUUUGCCAUGUUCGGGGUGCCAGGUCGGCAGAACACCUUGCUGAGCGGAUGAUCAAGGGUGUGGUUCAAACUCCACUGAUGAAACGGGGGUUGGCAUUGGAUCCUGCUGCCAUACAAGACUAUUGCCGGGUUAAAAAUACCAAUUACUGGCCAUGUGGGUUCAUCAUCCACCCAGACGCUCCCUGGUUAGGAUCCUCUCCUGAUGGGGUUGUGUUUGACCCAACAGAAAAUCCACCCUUUGGCCUGCUGGAGAUAAAAUGUCCAAAUGUGAAAAGCUACGUUGGCUGUAAGUACUUGAAAGUGGAAGGUGACACCAUGACAUUGAAAAAGCAGCAUUCCUACUUCUGGCAGACGAAAGGCCAGCUCCUGGUUUCAGGGAUGUAGUGGUGUGACUUUGUAGUGUGUGCGGAAGAGGAUAUGGUGAUCCAGAGGCUCUACAAAGAUGCUGAUGUUGCUACAACCAUUAGGGAGAAAGGGGAUUACUUCUUUUUCAACAUUUACAUGUCUGUUUGCUUGAAGGAUAAGCAGUAAGUGGUAAUGUAUGUAAAAUUUGUAUGACUGCCAUGUGUUCUGUCAGUGGAGAAUAGAAUUGCUCUUUGGUUUGUAAUAUGUUUUUACAAUAAAUCUGUUUUUAU